ensembl:snoRNA
GUCAAGUACUUCAAAAUGUUCCAAAAGGUGUGCUACAGUUCUUGGAGAGAAUCUGCUGGUCUUGAUUCACUGGCGUGGGCAGUAAGUGCCCCCAGUAGUGCCCAGAUCAGAAACAUAG